rnacentral:rRNA from 1 species
UACGUAGGGUGCAAGCGUUUAAUCGGAAUUACUGGGCGUAAAGUGUGCGCAGGCGGCGUCGCAAGUCGAGUGUGAAAGCCCCGAGCUUAACUUGGGAAUUGCGCUCGAAACUACGGUGCUGGAGUAUGGCAGAGGAAGGUGGAAUUCCACGUGUAGCGGUGAAAUGCGUAGAGAUGCGGAGGAACACCGAUGGCGAAGGCAGCCCCCCUGGGCUAACACUGACGCUCAGGCACGAAAGCGUUGGGGAGCAAACAGG